rnacentral:rRNA from 1 species
GCUUAGGGAGGAGCUUGCGUCACAUUAGUUAGUUGGUGGGGUAAAGGCCUACCAAGACUAUGAUGUGUAGCCGGGCUGAGAGGUUGAACGGCCACAUUGGGACUGAGACACGGCCCAAACUCCUACGGGAGGCAGCAGUAGGGAAUUUUCGGCAAUGGAGGAAACUCUGACCGAGCAACGCCGCGUGAACGAUGAAGUAUUUCGGUACGUAAAGUUCUUUUAUUAGGGAAGAAUAAAUGAUGGAAAAAUCAUUCUGACGGUACCUAAUGAAUAAGCCCCGGCUAACUAUGUGCCAGCAGCCGCGGUAAUACAUAGGGGGCAAGCGUUAUCCGGAAUUAUUGGGCGUAAAGGGUGCGUAGGCUGUUAAAUAAGUUUAUGGUCUAAGUGCAAUGCUCAACAUUGUGAUGCUAUAAAAACUGUUUAGCUAGAGUAAGAUAGAGGCAAGUGGAAUUCCAUGUGUAGUGGUAAAAUGCGUAAAUAUAUGGAGGAACACCAGUAGCGAAGGCGGCUUGCUGGGUCUUUACUGACGCUGAGGCACGAAAGCGUGGGGAGCAAACAGGAUUAGAUACCCUGGUAGUCCACGCCGUAAACGAUGAGUACUAAACGUUGGGUAAAACCAGUGUUGAAGUUAACACAUUAAGUACUCCGCCUGAGUAGUACGUACGCAAGUAUGAAACUUAAAGGAAUUGACGGGACUCCGCACAAGCGGUGGAUCAUGUUGUUUAAUUCGAAGGUACCCGAAAAACCUCACCAGGUCUUGACAUGCUUCUGCAAAGCUGUANAAACACAGUGGAGGUUAUCAGUUGCACAGGUGGUGCAUGGUUGUCGUCAGCUCGUGUCGUGAGAUGUUGGGUUAAGUCCCGCAACGAGCGCAACCCUUAUUGUUAGUUGCCAGCACGUAAUGGUGGGGACUUUAGCAAGACUGCCAGUGAUAA